GAUGAACGCUGGCGGCGUGCUUAACACAUGCAAGUCGAACGGUGAACCUCUUCGGAGGGGCUCAGUGGCGAACGGGUGAGUAACACGUGGGCAACCUGCCCCCGGCUCUGGGAUAACUCCAAGACAUUGGGGCUCAUACCGGAUGUUCACCGCUUCCCGCAUGGGUGGUGGUGCAAUGGGUGUCCGGCUGGGGGUGGGCCCGCGGCCUAUCAGCUUGUUGGUGGGGUAGUGGUCUACGAAGGCGACGACGGGUAGCCGGCCUGAGAGGGUGACCGGCCACACGGGGACUGAGAGACGGCCCAGACGCCUACGUGAGGCAGUAGUGGGGAAUAUUGCGCAAUGGGCGGAAGCCUGUCGCAACGACGCCGCGUGGGUGAUGACGUCUUUCGAGGGAUAAACCUCUGUCAGAAGGGACGAAGCGCAAGUGACGGUACCUGCAGAAGAAGCACCGGCUAACUACGUG
rnacentral:rRNA from 1 species